UCUUUGAACACAUAAAGAUAGUCUACGAUCGAUGAAUUAACAUGUAUAACCAACCCAAUUGUGAUGGGCAUUCACGAUACAGCAUAUUCAAAGCAUCGUAAAGAAUCCUAUUUGUUCAAAAGAAUGAUCAAUUUCGUUGGUUUCUUGGUAUUUCUAUGUUUCGCUCUUUGACCACAAAGUUGUCGUCAAGAUCCAGUUUAGUAGACAUGUCAGGCUCACUGACAGUGAAAAAAGAAGAACCCUAACAGUGGUAUGUGCUUAUAAUUUUUUCUUUCCAUCAAACAAAUAAAUUCUUCUUCAGUUUUUUUUCAUACAAGGGACGAUGUGAUGUUUUUUCAUGUCAUAAUCUUAACUUGUUUCAUAGAUGUUUCGUUUAUAUGAGGAGGAUGCUGAUGGGAAGACGAGGAAGAUGCAGAUGAAGAGACGAGGAGUUCAAAAGUAUUACCUCAAAUAUUUAUUAUAGAAUAUACAAGAUAUUGCAACAUACGGGCAAAAUGUUGAAAAAUCUUCAAACUCGAUGGUCUUUUAUAAGCCUUCGAACCUUACCGUAAUAAUUAAACAACCUUUUGGAUGAAAUUGUUGUGGGGACUGGGGAUUCUACCUUCCCCAGCCACCUUGGCCCUGGCGUCCUUGGAAGGAAGAAAUCAGGGGUUUCUCUUUCACGAAUUAUUGAAAUAUAACGUUAAAAAGUAGAAAACGUUACUAAACAUUAAAAAUCGAAAUGCUUAAAUAAAAGCUCGAUGUGUAACAACUCCAUUUACGCAUCACAAUCGCAAAUCUCAGAACGCACGUUAUGAAUUAAAAGAAAAAGGCGAACUGUAUGGCAGCAUGUUGGUACUCGGUUGGAAGCUACGUUUUACGUAAAUUGCGGUACACUUGGCACAUUUGGUAUUUGCAAAAAACAACAAUUUUUCCAAGGAUGCAUGCUACCACCAAAUCAUUUUGUAAAUAUAUUUAAUGUAAGAGUCAUUUUUGUAAAGAUUUCUUGUAAAAAUAGACAAGUUGAUCAAGUAUUGGGCAUCAAACGAAAAUCUUUACCGACAGUUUGCCGGUUUUCCCUUAA